rnacentral:lncRNA from 1 species
ACCAAUUGCACCUGUAGUUGGCCACCGGCCACUGACCGUCUUUCUUGGACACAGUCAUCUUCCAGGCUCAGCUGUCAGUCAUCCCCUCGUGCCCUGUCCACAUGCCUACACCCAAAGACAGAUGCAGACAUGUUGGCUGAGGCCAGGAACUCAUUCCUCUCUUACUGUAUUCCCAAUACUAAAGAGUGAGCAGCAUUGGCAGGACAGUGAGCAGGACUGGCAUGUCAGGGUCACUCAGAAGACUGUGUGUCUUGCUCAUCUGUGUUUUGGAAAAAGAUGUGCGUCAGGUAUACUCAGUAGACAGUCCCUGCUCACAUUGGUCUAAAGCAGCAGUUCUCAACCUGUGUGUCAUGGCCCCUUUGGCCACCCUCUAUCUCCAAAAUAUUUACAUUGUGAUUCAUAACAGUAGCAAAAUUACAGAUAUGAAGUAGCAAUGAAAAUAGUUCUGUGGUUGGAGAUUGCCAAAACACAAGAAACUUUAUUAUAGGGUCACAGCAUUUGGAAGGUUGAGAACUACUGGCUGGCAGCAGGUCCCUGGGCCACGGGGGCUCAUGCCACACUGAUGCUCUAGGUGGAAUACACCAGGCUCCUGUCCUUAACUAGCACAGGGGUUCUGGAGCAGGAGGGGCUGCGCUUGAUGAGGUCCCUUCGACACUACCCAGGCAACCUUUCCACCCUUGACCUCCAGAAUCUCAACACUGGGCAGUAUGAAGACAAGAGCUCUCCGCUUACUUCUCCUUUUUUACAUUUCUGCUGUUCAUAUCCCACUCUUGAACUGUACUGUGUGUUUUGACUGUUUUAUUUAAGGAAUUGAUGUGGGUUUUGUUUGUCUUUGAUCACACGUAGAGUGCCCUUUCCCUGGCAGACCUAGGUUGCCGUUCCUCUGGAGUGUCUGUGGCAUUCUGAGGACAACUGUCAUGUCUACCAGCGUCACCCACCCAGUUGACUCCGUGUGACAGGCCUGUCCUGCUCGGUGUGCCUGCACUUCAGGAAGAAGCAGCUCUGAGCUUGCCUUGUUCCUUCAGGCUAUGUGAAUGAGGAGGUGGGAGAACUUUAAACUUGGAAUUAUGCCUCCCUCCAACUUGGGGUCUAUGCCCCUUUAACUCAA